rnacentral:misc_RNA from 1 species
GAUGAAGAACGCAGCGAAAUGCGAUAACUAGUGUGAAUUGCAGAAUUCCGUGAAUCAUCGAGUCUUUGAACGCACAUUGCGCCCCCUGGUAUUCCGGGGGGCAUGCCUGUCCGAGCGUCAUUACAACCCUCAAGCUCAGCUUGGUGUUGGGCCCCGCCGCCCCGGCGGGCCCUAAAGUCAGUGGCGGUGCCGUCCGGCUCCGAGCGUAGUAAUUCUUCUCGCUCUGGAGGUCCGGUCGUGUGCUCGCCAGCAACCCCCAAUUUUUUUCAGGUUGACCUCGGAUCAGGUAGGGAUACCCGCUGAACUUAAGCAUAUCAAUAAGCGGAGGA